GAUGAACGCUGGCGGCGUGCUUAACACAUGCAAGUCGAACGAUGAAUCCCAGCUUGCUGGGUGUUUUAGUGGCGAACGGGUGAGUAACACGUGAGUAACCUGCCCUCUACUCUGGGAUAAGCCUGGGAAACUGGGUCUAUUACCGGAUAGGAGCGUCCACCGCAUGGUGGGUGUUGGAAAGAUUUAUCGGUUUUGGAUGGACUCGCGGCCUAUCAGCUUGUUGGUGGGGUAUUGGCUCACCAAGGCGACGACGGGUAGCCGGCCUGAGAGGGAGACCGGCCACACUGGGACUGAGAGACGGCCCAGACUCCUACGGGAGGCAGCAGUGGGGAAUAUUGCACAAUGGGCGCAAGCCUGAUGCAGCGACGCCGCGUGAGGGAUGACGGCCUUCGGGUUGUAAACCUCUUUCGGUAGGGAAGAAGCGAAAGUGACGGUACCUGCAGAAGAAGCACCGGCUAACUACGUG
rnacentral:rRNA from 1 species